rnacentral:rRNA from 1 species
CGGGGUGCGCAGGCGCGAAAACUUUACAAUGCUGGCAACAGCGAUAAGGGGACCUCGAUUGCCAGGUUACAAAUCUGGCUGUCGUGAUGCCUAAAAAGCAUUGCAUAGCAAGGGCCGGGCAAGACCGGUGCCAGCCGCCGCGGUAACACCGGCGGCUCGAGUGGUAACCGUUAUUAUUGGGUCUAAAGGGUCUGUAGCCGGCCGGAUAAGUCUCUUGGGAAAUCCAGCAGCUCAACUGUUGGGCUUUCAGGAGAUACUGUCUGGCUCGAGGCCGGGAGAGGUGAGAGGUACUUCAGGGGUAGGGGUGAAAUCUUGUAAUCCUUGAAGGACCACCAGUGGCGAAGGCGUCUCACCAGAACGGACCUGACGGCAAGGGACGAAAGCUAGGGGCACGAACCGGAUUAGAUACCCGGGUAGUCCUAGCCGUAAACGAUACUCGCUAGGUGUCGGCCACGGUGCGACCGUUGUCGGUGCCGUAGGGAAGCCGUGAAGCGAGCCACCUGGGAAGUACGGCCGCAAGGCUGAAACUUAAAGGAAUUGGCGGGGGAGCAC